rnacentral:lncRNA from 1 species
GAAACAUCAUUUCCUCCUCCUCUUGAGGGCAGGAGUCCAGGCGCAGCCCCAGCAGCAGGUUGGAAUAAAUGCAGAUGCUGCAAAUUGAUGGAGGCCUGGUGUCUUCCAGAGUGGAGGUAAAGGCUGGCUGAGGAAUCAGUGAGGCCAGGAAGAGGGCUCAGCUGAGCAACUGAUCAAAGCAUCCCUCUUCAGGAAGGAGCUUCCUGUGUUUUCUCUGGGAACUCACCUGUUUUCCACUCCAGACUCUCCAAGAUAUGCAGAGCUUUGGGCCAGGAUCCUACAGCCACGGGUCAUGCAGAGCCAGUUGGCCACAUCCUUUGGGCCAAAUUUGGUCCUAACCAGGUCUUACCACGGUAACUGCUAACCAGUCCAUCUUCAGUUAAUAUUUCAUGCGAAUUGUUGAACAUCUUACCAUUUAAUCCAGAAGUUAUGUCCUUUAAGGAAUCGACCCUGAGCCUGUGAGUUUUACUUUGGGUUGGGGGUGAAGGAGUGGACCUU